rnacentral:rRNA from 1 species
CACGUAGUUAGCCGGAGCUUCUUCUGCAGGUACCGUCGUGGUCUUCCCUGCUGAAAGCGGUUUACGACCCGAGGGCCUUCGUCCCGCACGCGGCGUUGCUGCGUCAGGGUUUCCCCCAUUGCGCAAAAUUCCCCACUGCUGCCUCCCGUAGGAGUCUGGGCCGUAUCUCAGUCCCAAUGUGGCCGAUCGACCUCUCAGUCCGGCUACCCAUCGUCGGCUAGGUGGGCCUCUACCCCGCCUACUACCUAAUGGGCCGCGACCCCAUCCCGCGCCGUCGGGGCUUUCCCGCCGCCCCCAUGCGGGGGCCGCGGAGUAUCCGGUAUUAGCCGCCGUUUCCAGCGGUUGUCCCGGAGCGCGGGGCAGGUUGGUCACGUGUUACUCACCCGUUCGCCACUGUAUGUCCGCCCGAGGGCGGUUUAACCGUUCGACUUGCAUGUGUUAGGCACGCCGCCAGCGUUCAUCCUGAGCCAGGAUCAAACUC